UAAAAGAUAAGCUAAUUAAAGCUGGAGGGCUCAUACCCCUCCUAUGAGAAAUUCUCUUUUAU
rnacentral:tRNA from 1 species